CCUACGGGGGGCAGCAGUGAGGAAUAUUGGUCAAUGGACGAGAGUCUGAACCAGCCAAGUAGCGUGAAGGAUGACUGCCCUAUGGGUUGUAAACUUCUUUUAUAUGGGAAUAAAAUGUUCCACGUGUGGGAUUUUGUAUGUACCAUAUGAAUAAGGAUCGGCUAACUCCGUGCCAGCAGCCGCGGUAAUACGGAGGAUCCGAGCGUUAUCCGGAUUUAUUGGGUGUAAAGGGAGCGUAGGUGGAUUGUUAAGUCAGUUGUGAAAGUUUGCGGCUCAACCGUAAAAUUGCAGUUGAAACUGGCAGUCUUGAGUACAGUAGAGGUGGGCGGAAUUCGUGGUGUAGCGGUGAAAUGCUUAGAUAUCACGAAGAACUCCGAUUGCGAAGGCAGUUCACUGGACUGCAACUGACACUGAGGCUCGAAAGUGUGGGUAUCAAACAGGAUUAGAUACCCCAGUAGUC
rnacentral:rRNA from 1 species